rnacentral:lncRNA from 1 species
ACCUCUUAGAGAGGUCCUGAAAAUAAUGCUCUAAUCUUGAUGUUAACAGUUUUCUUGCAAAUUCUCUUCAGGAAAUAGCUUAUCUUGUUAGAAUAUCAGAAGGAGAUUUACGGAAAGCAAUUACAUUUCUUCAAAGUGCUACUCGACUAACAGGUGGAAAGGAAAUCUCGGAAGAUGUGAUCACAGACAUUGCUGGGGCAAGUACACACCUAAGUCUUCUGACUUUCAGUCAGUCCUAGAGAUCUGCUGCUUUCUAAUGCUUAUUGUUUCAGGUAAUACCAGCUGCAACCAUUGAGGGAAUAGUCACUGCAUGUCACAGCGGCUCUUUUGACAAACUAGAAGCCGUGCUGAAGAACCUAAUAGAUGAAGGGCAUGCAGCCACUCAGCUUGUCAACCAACUUCAUGAUUCAAUCAUAGAAGAUGAAAAUCUGUCUGAUAAACAGAAGUCCAUCAUUACAGAAAAACUUGCUGAGGUGGAUAAGUGUUUAGCAGAUGGUGCAGAUGAGCACCUGCAGCUGAUGAGCCUCUGCGCAACUGUGAUGCAGCAACUGACCCAGAACUGUUAAGAUCGAUGUUCUUUUGUAUGAAUAAUAGAAAUAAAGGACCAAACC